rnacentral:lncRNA from 1 species
AGUAUGAGCUCAAGGACAAAGCAAAACAAGUGGAGGAAGAAAGAAUCGAAGAGGGACUGAAAUGAAGACAGUUAAAAGUUGGAGGACUAAAGCGCAAAUACUCAAAAGAUGAGCCGAAUGAGUGGCAAGAGAUUUGAUGGUGUCAAUCAUCAAUUGGAGGAUAACAUUUGUUGAAAAGAUGAAGAAAUCGAAGAAAGAAGUCAAGAGAAGCAACAAGGAAAGUUCAGGGACCAAAAGGUGAAGACUUCAUAGUUGGUUAGUCAUUGCGACCGCAUAGUGUAACCAUCUAUGCGGUCGCAUAGAUGGUUGCAGGAAAUUUUGGGGGAAAAUUUAUUGGUCUAUGCGACCGCAU